GACGAACGCUGGCGGCGUGCUUAACACAUGCAAGUCGAACGGAAAGGCCCCUUUGGGGGUACUCGAGUGGCGAACGGGUGAGUAACACGUGAGUAACCUGCCCUUGACUUCGGGAUAACGUCGGGUAACUGGGGCUAAUACCGGAUAGGAAUCCUUGCUGCAUGGUGGGGGUUGGAAAGCUUCGGCGGGUUUGGAUGGACUUGCGGGUUAUCGGCUUGCUGGUGGGGUAGUGGCUUACCAAGGCUUUGACGGGUAGCCGGACUGUGAGGGCGACCGGCGACAUUGGGACUGAGAUGCGGCCCAGACUCCUACGGGAGGCAGCAGUGGGGAAUAUUGAACGAUGGGCGGAAGCCUGAUGCAGCAACGCCGCGGGCGGGAUGACGGCCUUCGGGUUGUAAACCGCAUUCAGCAGGGGCGAAGCUUGUGGUGACGGUACCUGCAGAAGAAGCACCGGCUAACUACGUG
rnacentral:rRNA from 1 species